UCUUGGCCACAGACAUUCCUUUCAACAUGUGCUGACCUUCUGCUUGAAGGUCUCCUUGAGGACAUUGUCUCAGAAGUCUCUGUUGCAAUAUUUGAACGGAUCACUCAACCCUUUCUACUCUUAAAUUUUCUCUACCGUCUCACCUUAGGCAAUAUAAAGUCCUGGUUCACUCUCAGGAACGAGAGCUGACCCAGUUAAAGGAGAAGUUACGGGAAGGGAGAGAUGCCUCCCGCUCAUUGCAUGAGCAUCUCCAGGCCCUCCUCACUCCGGAUGAGCCGGACAAGUCCCAGGGGCAGGACCUCCAAGAACAGCUGGCUGAGGGGUGUAGACUGGCACAGCAACUUGUCCAAAAGCUCAGCCCAGAAAAUGACAACGAUGACGAUGAAGAUGUUCAAGUUGAGGUGGCUGAGAAAGUGCAGAAAUCGUCUGCCCCCAGGUGACACUGAAUACUCAGGAACAAUUAAUGGAUGGUAACAUAUGAGGAAUAUCUAGGAGGCACACCCUCUCUGGCAUCUAUGAUGGGCCAAAAACCCGCAUUCGCUUGGCCACAGUAUGUGAAAUAUAACCCAGCUUAGACACAGGGUGCGGCAGCUGUCAUGUUUCUCUAUGUGUGCCGAGUGUCAUGUCUGCACUG
rnacentral:lncRNA from 1 species